rnacentral:rRNA from 1 species
GUGGGGAAUAUUGGACAAUGGGGGGAACCCUGAUCCAGCCAUGCCGCGUGUGUGAAGAAGGCCUUUUGGUUGUAAAGCACUUUAAGCGAGGAGGAGGCUACCGAGAUUAAUACUCUUGGAUAGUGGACGUUACUCGCAGAAUAAGCACCGGCUAACUCUGUGCCAGCAGCCGCGGUAAUACAGAGGGUGCAAGCGUUAAUCGGAUUUACUGGGCGUAAAGCGCGCGUAGGUGGCCAAUUAAGUCAAAUGUGAAAUCCCCGAGCUUAACUUGGGAGUUGCAUUCGAUACUGGUUGGCUAGAGGAUGGGAGAGGAUGGUAGAAUUCCAGGUGGAGCGGUGAAAUGCGUAGAGAUCUGGAGGAAUACCGAUGGCGAAGGCAGCCAUCUGGCCUAAUACUGACACUGAGGUGCGAAAGCAUGGGGAGCAAACAGGAUUAGAUACCCGAGUAGUCC